AGGUUAGGGCUUUUAGGUGCUUAAAGUAUUACACCAAGAGACGUCAAGUUUGGAACGCUCAACAGUGUUACCUCCAGCGUAGGAAACCCUAGAUUUAAUAAAUAAGCUAUUGGGCUCCAGAGAUAUGGGCCUCAAUACGCUUUCACUUAUUGGGCUUGUAUGUGAACAUAUUAUUUGGAUUAUAUUAUAACAAAAUAUCCAAUAACAAUAUAUCCAACAAUCUCCUCCUAUGUUCACCAUACAGCAAUUAUGAAUCAUCCACAUUCAGUCCAAGACAAUCAACUCGGAUUAAAAACUCAAUCAACAAUUGUAAUUCAAAUGAGUAAAUCAUUAUUAUCAUGAAUCUGUUCUGAGAUCGACAUAUCCAAAAUGAUUCUCAAAAUCAGUUCACAACCAACAUAUGCAUAACAGUCAAAUAUAAGUAGGCCAGUCAAAAUAAUCCAAGGCCUUACAAAUAAAAGAAAAAGACAUAAUAAUGUUCACAAAUAGAGAUAGCCAAAAACAAGUCUUAAGUAAAUGGACUCCAUCAAAACAGGUAAUAGUAGGUGAACUGUCAAGUUCCCGUACACUCUAAAUGAUAUAUAUAUUCAUUCAUCAAAUAGAUCAUCCUGAUCUGGAUCUCACUUAUUAAGCUCUCCUCCAUCCCUGCCAUCCUCUGUAGAAUAUCAAAUAUAAAUUUCAUAUUAUCAUGAAUUUAAUCAUUUGAAUAAUCCACUAAAAAUGUCUAGUUCUACUAAAAGAACUUAGCAUCAUAACAUCAGGCAGAGAAGAAUAUAUAUUAAUGUCAUAAAGCAUCAUAAUAUCAUGUUCACAAGUAUCAAGCCAGUUUCAUAAAUUAUGAAUAAAGCCUAAAUAGUUUGAUUUAUAAAGAGCCAUCAACUUAAGUUUAUUUGUAAGAGAAUAAUCAUUGUCUAGUUUCAAAGAACAUGACCAAAACCAACAGACUUCUUAUGCAGAUAGCUAUUUCUAUGUUUCAAUUUGGAAUGUCACAGUUACUAAUUCUUUUAAGUCAAAUAAUCUAGCAUCAAGUUUGGAAUGAGAUCAUUUAACUAAGAAAAGAAUAGUCCAGCCUAGUUGAAUUGUAUCAUCAAGUUUGGAAUGACACAAGCCUUCCAGGUAGAACUUUG
rnacentral:lncRNA from 1 species